AAGACGAAGUAUUAUUGUAUAUUUCACUUACAAUGAAAAGGGUUCUCGUUGAACGUCUUUA
rnacentral:tRNA from 1 species